GACGAACGCUGGCGGCGUGCUUAACACAUGCAAGUCGAACGAAGGCUGCAGCAAUGUAGCCUUAGUGGCGGACGGGUGAGUAACGCGUGGGCAACCUGCCUUGUACUGGGGGAUAACACUGGGAAACUAGUGCUAAUACCGCAUAACAUCAUUAUGUAGCAUCACAUGAUGAUCAAAGGAGCAAUCCGGUACAAGAUGGGCCCGCGUCCGAUUGGCUAGUUGGCGGGGUAACAGCCCACCAAGGCGACGAUCGGUAGCCGAACUGAGAGGUUGAUCGGCCACAUUGGGACUGAGACACGGCCCAGACUCCUACGGGAGGCAGCAGUGGGGAAUAUUGCACAAUGGACGAAAGUCUGAUGCAGCAACGCCGCGUGAAGGAUGAAGGUUUUCGGAUUGUAAACUUCUUUGAUGAGGGACGAAUAAUGACGGUACCUCAAAAACAAGCCACGGCUAACUACGUGCCAGCAGCCGCAGUAAAAC
rnacentral:rRNA from 1 species